CUCACAUGGACCUAGGUCACCAUCCUUUGCUGUGGCCUGGGCUCCUGUCUCUCGUGGCUGUGACACGCACCACUGCACGAAGAGCGGCAGGCGGGAGAACCAGCAGUGUAACCGCAUCACCACCAGGCAUCUCCGCAGCAGGUCCACUCCCACCCUCCAGUGCCCAAACUGCACCAAGGCUGCAGUGCCCUGUGUCUGAGUCUCUGUGCUGCCUGGACCUGCAGGCCCGAGAAGGCCCUGUGUUCACUUGCUUUGCUCCGCCUUGCUGAGAAUACCAGUCAUGAACGAGCGCUCCGAAUGAGAGUGGCCGCAGACGCUUGGAGACAGGGACUUUUGCUUUUACGGCCAAAAACCUUCCAGACAGGAAGAGCUGUUUCAAGGGCUGUGUACAGAGGAGGCCACACACUUCUGAACAGGCCCCAGAGGAAGAGCACAGAGCCUGGAGAGGCGGCUCCAGACGCAGAAGCAGCAACUCGGGCUGGUGAACGAUGCUAAGGGUGGUAAAAGGACUUACAUGUGUAAAGUGAGGAGAAAAGGACGGCUGGAACCCAGAUAUCCAGGCAGACAGGGCCGGGCCAACAAGCUUCUCUUCCCCGCCGCACGGGAGUCGGCAUGUGGCCAAGGGGGUGCCAGGGCCGCAGAGAGCACCGCGAGGGAGCACCCUGUUUGCUGACAGACCUCAGUCCCCAGGCCCAAGGAUUUCGUGUCCUAGUGUCAGGCAGGAGUUUCCGGGGUUCAUCAGGCCUCAGGCAUUGCCUCCCAGAAACCACAGCCGUUAGGAGAGGUGAGAAAAAUGCAGACACGGGAAAAUACUUACCUACUUCUACAGCAAGGACAUAGAGAUGUAUGUGAAAACUACGUUCUGAUCUUACCUCUUUUUCUAGAAGGAACCUCUCCACAGAGAUCUGACCUGCAACAAGGUGGUAAGAAGCACCGGUGUCAGAGUAUUUCCGCUGUAGAGCAGUUCUUCUCUCCUGACACAGUCGGUAGUCACUGGAUCAACAGUGUCCUCUCCCAGCUGAAGCAACGCCAGGCUCAGACUUCCCAUGUGUGGAGACUGAAGGGAAACCACGUUGAGUACCAGGGAGGGCGAGCAGGUGGCACUAACCAGGUUGCUCUGCUGCCUGUGUGGCCCUUCAUGUCCUUGUCUGCCUGUCCACUGCGGGUGAGAAACGACCAUGCCACCAGGCACAGCCCUGGGCAUCCUUCGUAGAGCCAAAGGUCUGCAACUUCUCUAGGUCUAAGAAUGAAAAGAUUUUAUAAAUUAG
rnacentral:lncRNA from 1 species